UCAGUAUUUUCUGGUCAGUGUUGACCACUUUAUUGAUCAAUAAGUCAAUAAAGUGGUCAACACUGGAAAUGAUUGGAUGA